rnacentral:rRNA from 1 species
AGAGUUUGAUCCUGGCUCAGGACGAACGCUGGCGGCGUUAACACAUGCAAGUCGAACGGUGAAAGAGGAGCUUGCUCCUCUGGAUCAGUGGCGAACGGGUGAGUAACACGUGAGAACCUGCCCUUGACUCUGGGAUAAGCGUUGGAAACGACGUCUAAUACCGGAUAUGAACCGUGGAGGCAUCUCCUGCGGUUGGAAAGAACUUCGGUCAAGGAUGGACUCGCGGCCUAUCAGCUAGUUGGUGAGGUAACGGCUCACCAAGGCGACGACGGGUAGCCGGCCUGAGAGGGUGACCGGCCACACUGGGACUGAGACACGGCCCAGACUCCUACGGGAGGCAGCAGUGGGGAAUAUUGCACAAUGGGCGAAAGCCUGAUGCAGCAACGCCGCGUGAGGGACGACGGCCUUCGGGUUGUAAACCUCUUUUAGCAGGGAAGAAGCGAAAGUGACGGUACCUGCAGAAAAAGCACCGGCUAACUACGUGCCAGCAGCCGCGGUAAUACGUAGGGUGCAAGCGUUGUCCGGAAUUAUUGGGCGUAAAGAGCUCGUAGGCGGUUUGUCGCGUCUGCUGUGAAAACGCGAGGCUCAACCUCGCGCCUGCAGUGGGUACGGGCAGACUAGAGUGCGGUAGGGGAGAUUGGAACUCCUGGUGUAGCGGUGGAAUGCGCAGAUAUCAGGAGGAACACCGAUGGCGAAGGCAGAUCUCUGGGCCGUAACUGACGCUGAGGAGCGAAAGCGUGGGGAGCGAACAGGAUUAGAUACCCUAGUAGUCC